CACUCCUACGGGAGGCAGCAGUGGGGAAUAUUGGACAAUGGGCGCAAGCCUGAUCCAGCCAUGCCGCGUGAGUGAUGAAGGCCCUAGGGUUGUAAAGCUCUUUCACCGGUGAAGAUAAUGACGGUAACCGGAGAAGAAGCCCCGGCUAACUUCGUGCCAGCAGCCGCGGUAAUACGAAGGGGGCUAGCGUUGUUCGGAUUUACUGGGCGUAAAGCGCACGUAGGCGGACUAUUAAGUCAGGGGUGAAAUCCCGGGGCUCAACCCCGGAACUGCCUUUGAUACUGGUAGUCUUGAGUUCGAGAGAGGUGAGUGGAAUUCCGAGUGUAGAGGUGAAAUUCGUAGAUAUUCGGAGGAACACCAGUGGCGAAGGCGGCUCACUGGCUCGAUACUGACGCUGAGGUGCGAAAGCGUGGGGAGCAAACAGGAUUAGAAACCCUGGUAGUCCCAU
rnacentral:rRNA from 1 species